rnacentral:ncRNA from 1 species
AAUUAAUUUGGGCAAAGCCACCGAAAGGUGGUGACGCAAAACUAUAGGGGCUAAAGUUUAAAAGAACCAUGCCUGCCAGUUGCCGCU